rnacentral:rRNA from 1 species
GCAAGUCGAGCGGUAACAUUCCUAGCUUGCUAGGGGAUGACGAGCGGCGGACGGGUGAGUAAUGCUUGGGGAUCUGCCUAGAGGUGGGGGACAACAGUUGGAAACGACUGCUAAUACCGCAUAAAGUCUACGGACCAAAGGAGGGGCUCUUCGGACCUUUCGCCUUCAGAUGAACCCAAGUGAGAUUAGCUAGUUGGUGAGGUAAUGGCUCACCAAGGCGACGAUCUCUAGCUGGUUUGAGAGGAUGACC